rnacentral:lncRNA from 1 species
GUUGUGUAGCUGUCAAAAGAGGGUUUAGUGCUUGACCCAAAGAAGCAUUCAAAGCCCAGAUCUUUCUUUUUUUUAUUGCUUUUCAUUUUCAUUGUUUGUACUUUAUACUUAAGAAGGGGCCUCUGCGCAGGGGAAAGCCCCUGCUUUCGUAUUCACAACCAGCAGCCUUCUACUGAAACACCUCAAAAGCUUUUCACAGCAAGAAUUUGGAAAGCACUGCUCUGUGUCAACUGCUGGUGCAUAAUCAGGCUGCCCAUGGAGGGGCUGGGGCAGGAUGUGAGGAUGCACGUGCCGGAUGGAGCCCAGGGAGGAUGGGAUGGAGGAGCUGGAGGGAUUCAGGGCAUAUGCGUAAAUGAUCUGGCAAUAAACAGAAAAUACAAGAGGUCUGUAAGCUUGAGUGCAGUAAAGCAGGAGUGUGAAUCCAAAAGAUGUGAUAGGCCUUGAGCAGAGUCCCAAAUCCCCCUGUUCUGCUGAAAAUGUGCACUUGGUGGUGAUGAGGACACCAGUAGCCUCUCUGCAUUUGGCUACAUCCCAACAUGAUUGAUGCUGAUUCCAGUCACAUUCAGCAUUUUGCAGAAAAAGCUUGACACUUUGACGUCUGAAUCCUGCCUUUUCAUUUGGAAUGGAAGGCAGAAUUUUCAUUUGGUUCCUGUGGAAAUGAACACUAUAAAAGAACUCCCCUCAUGUUGGUGUCUACCAUUUACUUCUCAUCAUCUGACAACAGAAGAAAAUUGGAGUGAAUUAUUCAUGUUAGGUGGAUAUAUUUAAGUGAAGUUCAAAGACUACUGGUUUUCUUUCACCAAAUCUGGUUUAAGGUAGUCUAACCAAUCCAUUAUUUACAAACUUGUGACUAUU